ensembl:lncRNA
AAAAAAGCAGAGACAUUACUUUGCCGACAAAGGUCCAUCUAGUCAAGGCUAUGGUUUUUCCAGUAGUCAUGUAUGGAUGUGAGAAUUGGACCAUAAAGAAGGCUGAACACUGAAGAAUUGAUGCUUUUGAACUAUGGUGUCAGAGAAGACUCUUGAGAGUCCCUUGGACAGCAAGGAGAUCAAACCAGUCCAUCCUAAAGGAAAUCAACCGUGAAUAUUCAUUGGAAGGACUGAUGCUGAAGCUGAAGCUCCAUUCCUUUGGCCACCUGAUGUGAAGAGCCGACUCCUUGGAAAAAGAUCUUGAUGCUGGGAAAGACUGAGAGCAGGAGAAGGAGGCAACAGAGGAUGAGAUGGUUGGAUGGCAUCACCGACUCAAUGGUCAUGAGUCUGAGCAAAUUCCACAAGAUGGUGAAGAGCAGGGAAGCCUGGAGUGCUGCAGUCUAUGGGGUUGCAAAGAGUUGGACAUGAUUUAGCGACUGAAAAUCAAAAUGUGAAAGGGAGACGGUAUGACUCUGGAGUACUGAAGACAGAAGCAUCAAGGAGACGCGUCCCAGAGUUCCAGGUGGUCCACCUGCUGUUCACUCCUUCAACACUUCUGUUCACUGUCCUAUCAGUGCCCGGAGAGGAAGCUCCUCCUACCUUCCAUGGAAGAUGCUUGUUCUCCCGCUUAGAGAAUUAGUGGCCAUACUUCCCUCUUGUUUAGAGCUUAAAACUUCAACCUUGUACCCAAAAGCUAAAACUGAGAAAAGAGGUGUUUUUUUUUUUUAUUAUUAUUGUUUUAAGUGAAGGAUUUGGAAGAUGGUAAUUUAAGUCACAAUGAAGAUAAAAAGCAGUUUCCUGCCCACCACUGCUCACCCUCAGUCCUUUUUCCUCUUCCUACUGCCCUAUUCUCUGAAAAAUGCAGCCUGAGAAAAUAUGACCCUGGGGAAUACUGGAUGUGAGAAAGCUGUGUAGCCUGAGCUGAAAAGCAAUUAACUGUCCCUGAGCAGUCUCCGAGCAGGCAGAGGCGCGUCCCCGAGGCAGGAAGACAUCACCAUGAUUUAGGUCUGUGUUGGUUGGUUUGCUGACAGCAUCCUGUGUGUCCCGAGGCCCCAUAAGAAAUGGCUGGUGAAGACUGAGGUCACCGCUUCGCCCAGCUGGACUAUAUCUUUGCAGUGACCUAAGGGUCAGUGAGUAAGGAAGAGAAGGCCGAGGCCAGCGAUGACCUUGAAUGUGUAUCCAGCUGUGAGCUGUUGCUCAGGCUUCCAAAUGGUCAAUGGAGGUGUUUUGGCAAUUCCCAGGACCACCAAAGUUGAUGUAGAUUUGCAUUGUGUGGAGAGGCAGAGGAUGAGGAGGUGUGAACGAAUCCAGGGGAGGUCACCCUGUCACUGCUGGAGGAACACCUCAUUUCCAGGUCCUCCGCACGAGCCCGACUGGGAAAUUAACCAAGCAGGGACUGGUCGGACACUUCCUUCCUUUCCUCAUUGACGCUCCAGGCCCAGCGAUUGUUCCCC